GGGGGGGGGGGGCAGUGGUUUGUGACAUUUGUAGAAAAAAAAUGAGUGCAGUGAUGUGGGGAUAGUGUUUUUUUUUUUUUUUUAAUGUGAAGUGAGCUGUGGAAAAGGAGGAAUGUUGAGACAGCAUUCAACAGCAGGCGACAGUUUGCAGUUUGCAGUUGGUAUCUCGGUGAAGUGAGCUGUGGACAAGGAGGAAUGCUGAGACAGCAUUCAACAGCAGGCGACAGUUUGCAGUAUGCAGUUUGCAGUAUGCAGUUUGCAGUUUGCAGUUGAUAUCUCGGUGAGUCAAAAAUUAAAGAAUUUUUAUUUAAUGUUAAGCAAUUGUGAUAAAUUUUGAAUUAUUUGUCACAAAUGUUUAACGAUGCUCAUGAUGAGCUUCUAGUGGAUAAGAGGUACGUUUAUCAGUUGUGAGAAAUUAAAAUUAAUUAAUUAAUAAAGUGAAGCUAGCCAGAGUUGGGGUUUUUGAAUUAAUUAGAGAAUUAGCUCUUAAUUGGGUUUUAUAUAAUUUUUUUGUGUCGUCAGUAAAAAUAAAAUGGUGAAAAAGCUUUGUUGAAAAAUGAAUUUUUGUAAUUUGUCAUGGAUUGUUGGACUCAGCUGUCUUAUAUACUGGUGGUUGUAGGAAGGGGUGUUUUUGGGGGGGCGCGGUGGGAAAUGAAGACGGGCGUUGCUGGAGAAUUCAGCGGCCGCCGUCGGAUCCCGCACUUUAUCCGUCGGACUCGGACGUGCAUAGCCGUCGGAGUGCGACCUGUACCCUGAUUUACCCGUCGUACUUGGCCGUGGUGAAGUGCGACGUGGAUUCCCCUUUUGUAUAUGCCCUGUAUAUUGGGCGGUAAAAAGCGCGUAAAUUGAGGGUGGAGGGGAAUGAAGACGGGGGGACCGUCCAGAAUUCGACGGCCUCCUUGUCGGAGCCCCCGGGGUUUUGUUCCGUCGGAGUUGGACACCGAGGAAAAGGUAUCCGAUUCCGACGAAUCGUGUUGACCAAUUGAGCCAUCGUGUAUUAUAUAGGGGUGGAAAAUAUUUUUUGGACAAGCCUCGACGCAUUGAAUUGAAUGCGGAGGUUUAGUAUAUGCGGCGGCGGCGGCUAGUUUGGGUGGAAUGAUAAAUUAUAAGAAAUGAAUAUUUGAAGAAAGCUUUUUGACGAUGAAAUGAAUAAUUAGUAAAAAAAUAAUUGAGUGGGAUGGUUAGCUUGACAGGUGGAUAUUUGUUAGUCGGAAUUUAGUAAUUUGCAUUGUAAAUGAUUUCUCACAAAUGAUGAAUAACCGUAAAGAGAACCUCGGGGGGAGGAGCAUUUAAAUGUAAAAGUGAUAAGGUAGUAAAAAUGUUUAACAUCUGUUAUGGGGAGAAAUAUAAAUUGAAAAUGUAUUUUUCAUUGCUAUUUCAUCGAGCCUGAGAAAUAUUUAACAAGGCUGAUAAAGAAUUGCGUUUUUUUUGUGGGGGAUUUUAGUGAUGAACCCGGGGGUUGAUCGCUGUGAAAGUUGUAAGGUACUGUUAAUGGUAUAAAUAUAAAUUUGUAAUUUUUUUGAAUUGAUAUUAAAUGGCGUGAGCAUGUUUUUAUGAAUAGAGAGAGUUAGAAGCGAAGUUUUGCAAAGCCUAGUCAUAAUGAAGUUGUAAGGGUUUCGCUAGAUGGUGUCAGUCAAGAAAUUGGUGGCCCUGCGAAACUUGUCACCCUUCAGACUAGAUUUGUUUACCUUUGCAAUAAUAUUGUUAGACUGGUUAGGAUAUUUUUAUGAAUAGAGAUUGAGAAGAGAGAGAGAGUUAGAAGCGAAGUUUUGCAAAUCCUAGUCAUAAUGAAGUUGUAAGGGUUUCGCUAGAUGGUGUCAGUCAAGAAAUUGGUGGCCCUGCGAAACUUGUCACCCUUCAGACUAGAUUUGCUUACCUUUGCAAUAAUAUGGUUAGACUGGUGAGGAUAUUUUUAUGGAUAGAGAUUGAGAAGAGAGAGUUAGAAGCUAGGUUUUGCAACAGUUAGUCAGAAUAAAGUCGUAAGAAUGUGACAAGAGGGUGUAAAUGAAGGAAUACUUAGCAAGGCGUGUGAAAAAUAGGGUUUUUAAAAUUGAUAAAAAUUUUUUGUCGGGUUGUCAGGUGUUAAAUUCAGAAGGUAUUGAAAAUGGGUGAAAUAAAAAUUUUGAAAAUAGCUUUAAUGGAUAUUCCAUGGUGUGAGACGAAUAUUUAGCAAUGCGUGUGAAAAAUUGAGUUUUUUAAAAUGAUUUUAAUGUUUUGCGGGGUUGUCAGCUGUUAAAUUGGUAACAUAUGGAAAAUUUUGAACCAUGUCGGUAAUUGGUUAGAGCGCGGGUGACUUGUUCCACACGUCGAUAACUAGUCUGUCGGUAAGAGUAUUGGACGGUCGGUAUCUCGGCGAUGGGUAAAUAGUCGACGAAGUGUAAUGACGUGACAGGGUUAUCAGCCGUCAAACUUUUAGCGUAUUGAAAAUAGUUAAAAUAAAAAUUUUAAAAAUAGCUUUAAUGGAUAUUAAAUGGUGUGAGACGAAUAUUUAGCAACGCGUGUGAAAAAUAGUGUUUUUGUUAUAUUGAUUUUGAUGUUUUGUGGGUUUGUUAUCAGUUAAACAGGUAAGUAUUGAAAAUUGUUAAAAUAAAAUUUUUUAAAAUAGCUUUAAUGGAUAUUAAAUGGUGUGAGUCGAAUAUUUAGCAACGCGUAUGAAGAAUUGCGUUUUUUUUUUAUUGAUUUUAAUGUUUUGCGGGGCUGUCAGCUGUUAAAUUUGCAACAUAUUGAAAAUGGUUGAAAUAACAAUUUUGAAAAUAGCUUUAAUGGAUAUUAAAUGGCGUGAGACGAAUAUUUAGUAACGCGUGUGAAAAAUUGCGUUUUUUUAAUUGAUUUUAAUGUUUUGUGGAGUUGUCAGGUGUUAAAUUUGCGACUGAUUGAAAAUGGUUAAAAUAAAAAUACUUAAAAUAGUUUUAAUGGAUAUUAAAUGGCAUGAGACGAAUAUUUAGCGACGCGUAUGAAAAAUUCCGUUGUUUUUAUAUUGAUUUUAACGUUUUGUGGGGUUAUCAGCUGUUAAAUUCGUAACAUAUUGAAAAUGGUUAAAAUAAAAUUUUUUAAAAUAGUUUUAAUGGAUAUUAAAUGGCGUGAGACGAAUAUUUAGAUUUUAACAUUUUGUGGGGUUAUCAGGUGUUAAAUUCGUAACAUAUUGAAAAUGGUUAAAAUAAAAUUUUUAAAAAUAGUUUUAAUGGAUAUUAAAUGGCGUGAGACGAAUAUUCAGCAAGGCGUAUGAAAAAUUGGGUUUUUAAAAUUGAUUUUAAUGUUUUGUGGGGGUGUUAGCUAUAAAAUUUUGAACAUAUUGAAAAUAGUUGAAAUAAAAAUAAAAAAAAUAGGUUUAAUGGAUAUUAAAUGGUGUGAGAGGAAUAUUGAGUAAGGCGUGUAAAAAAUAGUGUUUUUUAAUUGAUUUUAAAGCGUUGCGCGGUUGUCAGCUAUUAAAGUUGUAAAUAUUGAAAAUUUCGAAUGAGAUCGGUAAUCCGGUAGAGCGCGGGUGAGUUGUUCCACACGUUGAUAACUAGAUUGUCGGUAAUCCGAUUGGUCGGUCGGUAUUUGGGCUGUUGGUUAAACAGUGAUAAUAGUUUUAGGGGUAGCCGGCUCGAAGAGUCGAUAACUCGACUGAAGGUAAUGACAGUCGUCGGUCGGUAUGUCGGCGAUGGGUAAAGAGUGAUUACAGCUUUAGGGGUAACUGGUUUGAAGCGUCGAUAAUUUUCGCUGAUGGUAAUGCGAUUGGUAAUUUUUUGACUUAUAUAUAAAAUAUUAAAUUGAAAUAAAUACUUAUAAUUAAUAUACAAAAUGGAAUAUUAAAUUAAUAUAUUAAUUUAUUAUUUAAAAUUAAAUGUAAAAAUACUUAGUUUUUUGAAUUAAAUUGAAUUGAAAAUUUUUUAAU